AUACGUAGGUGGCAAGCGUUGUCCGGAAUUACUGGGUGUAAAGGGAGCGCAGGCGGGCGUGCAAGUCAGCUGUGAAAUCCAUGGGCUUAACCCGUGGGCUGCAGUUGAAACUGUAUGUCUUGAGGGAAGAAGAGGUAGGCGGAAUUCCGAGUGUAGCGGUAAAAUGCGUAGAUAUUCGGAGGAACACCGGUGGCGAAGGCGGCCUACUGGGCUUUAACUGACGCUGAGGCUCGAAAGUGUGGGGAGCAAACAGGAUUAGAUACCCUGGUAGUCCACACUGUAAACGAUGAUUGCUAGGUGUGGGGGGUCUGACCCCUUCCGUGCCGCAGUUAACGCAAUAAGCAAUCCACCUGGGGAGUACGGCCGCAAGGCUAAAACUCAAAGGAAUUGACGGGG
rnacentral:rRNA from 1 species